rnacentral:rRNA from 1 species
GUGGGGAAUUUUGGACAAUGGGCGCAAGCCUGAUCCAGCAAUGCCGCGUGCAGGAAGAAGGCCUUCGGGUUGUAAACUGCUUUUGUACGGAACGAAACGGUCCGGGUUAAUACCCUGGGCUAAUGACGGUACCGUAAGAAUAAGCACCGGCUAACUACGUGCCAGCAGCCGCGGUAAUACGUAGGGUGCAAGCGUUAAUCGGAAUUACUGGGCGUAAAGCGUGCGCAGGCGGUUUUGUAAGACAGGCGUGAAAUCCCCGGGCUCAACCUGGGAAUUGCGCUUGGGACUGCAAGGCUGGAGUGCGGCAGAGGGGGAUGGAAUUCCGCGUGUAGCAGUGAAAUGCGUAGAUAUGCGGAGGAACACCGAUGGCGAAGGCAAUCCCCUGGGCCUGCACUGACGCUCAUGCACGAAAGCUAGGGCAGCGAACGGGAUUAGAAACCCCAGUAGUCC